rnacentral:lncRNA from 1 species
CUCGACCAAAUAAGACCCCUAACCUCACCCUUAAGCUGUCCACAAGGUUAUCCAACAAGAUUAUCGUCCGAUAUACGAAAUCACGAAGCAAUAACAUUACAACGAUCCCCACGACGUAUGUAUCGCUAUAUAGGCUCUCUUUUUCUUUGUAGUUUGAGUUUUGGAAGUUUUUUUAAAGUUAAUAAAAAAUACAAAGUUCUGGUUUCAAGAUCUUAAAUAUCAAGUAAGGUUGAUUAAUUCAUUUCAUAAUAGUUAGAACUCACAGGACGGUGAUCGGAAGCCGUGAGUUUGAGUUAUUUGAUUUGUAAUGGACUAUUUUAUGGGUUGUUUCGUGUAGCUUUUGGUCUGUAUAUUUUUCUUCUAUUUAAUGAAGUUUUUUGAGGAUAAAUGGUAUGGAUAAACACCACUUAAUGGCGAAAUGAUGGAUUAGUCAUUCUUUGUAAUAUUUUCGGGGUGUUGGACACUACUAUAGUCGUUUUUUUUGGUAUGAAUUGAUUUGGGUGUGUUGGGAUGUUGUAAGCUAAAUAUAACAUGGAUUUCGACUUGCAUCCACUGUAGGAGGUAAUUAUGUUGUCUUCCUAUGGGCUCUUAAGGUUAUUUUGGCAUUGGUUAAGUUAAAUUGAUGAACUAGACAUGAAUUAGUGAAUAAAGUUACUAAUUAAGAAUAAUUGGAGUUGUGAAUCAUUUUCUUUGUUACGGAUAUAUAGUAUAAGGCAGGAAUUAUUGAUGAAUGACUUCAUUAUCAUGUUAAUGAUAUUGUUAAGUUAAAGUAAAAAGUCUAUAAGGGAUGAUAUGGCGUAUACGAAUUCCAAUUGGAGCUUGUCGCUCGUCGUAAAAUAGUUAUGACUUGUUGUUGUUUUAUGGUAUCUUGUUAUUGAUAAUUAUGUAUUUCUGGAUUUAUCUGGUAAUUAUUAUUGGUAUAUGGUAUUGGAGGAGUCUCUUGUUACAGGGGAGAUGCUGCCCGAAUUUAUAUAAACGAGCUACAAGUUUAAGUUACAGACUUAGCCUUUAUUCAACACUGAUUUUGAAUCUCCUUAUGUAAUGAUAGAUUGAGUUGAGUUGUUUGAAGAGUAGCUUGGGAGGUAUUAAGGACUCACCAUGGUUAAGGUAUGUUAAGGAACUUCCUUAUUUCAUUUGGCAUGAUCUAAUGUGAAAUGAACGUCAAAUGAUACGCUAUUUCAUAAUGAAUCUACUCCUAGCAACUAAGAUUGUCGAUGUCGUUCUUUCCUUAUAAAGUUAUUCUAAGCAUGUAUGUAUGAUCCUUGAAUUCUAUUGAGGUUCAUACUGAUGGUAUGAUGUCCAUAAUGUUAAUAGAAGGUGCAACGACCAUACGCCACUCUGAAAGGUUUAGAACAUGAUUCCAUGAGUCCAGCAUGCAUUAUAUAUGUAUCUACUUUACUCUACCGAGCCGCGCUAUAGUCGGCCGGGUACGGCACCAAUUGUAUAACCACUGAUCAAUUGGGUUUUACCGAGCUCUACGUGGCCGAAUACGAUUCUACCGAGCCUUAUGAUGGCCGGGUACAUUUUUAUCGAGUCCUCUUUGAGGCCGGAUAUGAUAUGAUGAUGCCCACAGAGGUUUAUGUUUUUAAAGUUCCUGUAUAUAUAUGUAUUAUGCAUUUCAUGUCAGUAGCCCCCAGAGGCACUCAUAUGUUACAGGUUGUAUCUCCUUUAUCUCUCUUUACAUUAGUGUUCUUGUUUAUGCUUUCCUACCUUACAUACUCGGUACUUUAUUCGUACUGACAUCCCUUUUUCUUGGGGACACUACAUUUCAUGCUAGCAGGUCCCAAUAGACAGGUUGUCAUACCUCCUAGUAGGCUAUCCGCUCAGCGGAAGGUGUUGGUGCACUCUACUUGCUCCGGAGUUGCCUAUUUGGUCAAUAUGAUUUGGACAUAUUGUUUGGUAUGGCGGGGCCCUGUCCCGACCUUUAUGAUGUGUAUGUACUCUUAGAGGAUUGUAGACAGAUAUCAUGUAUAUGAGAGAUUGUAUGGCCUUGUCGGCCAAUGUUCAGUGUAUGAGUGUUCAUUUUGGUCUUAUAGGAGGUAUGUCACAUGUAUAAGUUUAUGUUACAUGUUGGGUCAUCUUAUGUCAAGUAUUCCCCUAUGUUUUAUUCUGGUUAUAUCAUGACGACCCUUUUGGCCC